UUUCCUAAUCAUGCAUCAUAAAAGUUGUACAGCACGAGGGUCAAGAAAUUUCCUCAGUGAUGACAUCAGCCCUGCUAGAUCUCAGGAGCUGUGCUUGCAUGAAAGGGAAAUGAGGAACUCAGGUCUGCUAUCAAUAAUAUCUAUGAUGUCCACUAUGAGACCACAGGACCAGCUGAAACCCGCCAGAACCAAUAUGACCGACUGGAGCUCGCGCAAGGAUUUGCCGGGCCACGGGGUGAUCUUUUGACGUCACCGUCUGAACUUCCGCCCCAAGUUUCAUACUAACUCCCCCUAAAUUUUCACAUGCCACCCAUGAAGAGGCAACUGCACAUGGGCAAGGGACUUUCCAAACAUCCCCGUUCCCUGGCCAAUCACUAAUCUACCCUGAAACACUUUCCUCCAAAUCCUUCUUUUACAAAUAUGGCUUUCAAGCCAGUACAAGGAAGACAGUUUUGAGCCCAUCUCCUGUCACGUUGCUUGGCCGUUUUGCAAUAAACCUUUCUCUCUACAAAAA